rnacentral:rRNA from 1 species
UUAAGCGACUAAGCGUACACGGUGGAUGCCCUGGCAGUCAGAGGCGAUGAAGGACGUGCUAAUCUGCGAAAAGCGUCGGUAAGGUGAUAUGAACCGUUAUAACCGGCGAUGUCCGAAUGGGGAAACCCAGUGCAAUUCGUUGCACUAUCGUUAACUGAAUACAUAGGUUAACGAGGCGAACCGGGGGAACUGAAACAUCUAAGUACCCCGAGGAAAAGAAAUCAACCGAGAUUCCCCCAGUAGCGGCGAGCGAACGGGGAGCAGCCCAGAGUCUGAAUCAGCUUGUGUGUUAGUGGAACGGUCUGGAAAGUCCGACGGUACAGGGUGAUAGUCCCGUACACCAAAAUGCACAGGUUGUGAACUCGAAGAGUAGGGCGGGACACGUGGUAUCCUGUCUGAAUAUGGGGGGACCAUCCUCCAAGGCUAAAUACUCCUGACUGACCGAUAGUGAACCAGUACCGUGAGGGAAAGGCGAAAAGAACCCCGGCGAGGGGAGUGAAAAAGAACCUGAAACCGUGUACGUACAAGCAGUGGGAGCACCUUUAUGGUGUGACUGCGUACCUUUUGUAUAAUGGGUCAGCGACUUAUAUUCUGUAGCAAGGUUAACCGUAUAGGGGAGCCGCAGGGAAACCGAGUCUUAACUGGGCGUUAAGUUGCAGGGUAUAGACCCGAAACCCGGUGAUCUAGCCAUGGGCAGGUUGAAGGUUGGGUAACACUAACUGGAGGACCGAACCGACUAAUGUUGAAAAAUUAGCGGAUGACUUGUGGCUGGGGGUGAAAGGCCAAUCAAACCGGGAGAUAGCUGGUUCUCCCCGAAAGCUAUUUAGGUAGCGCCUCGUGAACUCAUCUUCGGGGGUAGAGCACUGUUUCGGCUAGGGGGUCAUCCCGACUUACCAACCCGAUGCAAACUACGAAUACCGAAGAAUGUUAUCACGGGAGACACACGGCGGGUGCUAACGUCCGUCGUGAAGAGGGAAACAACCCAGACCGCCAGCUAAGGUCCCAAAGUCAUGGUUAAGUGGGAAACGAUGUGGGAAGGCACAGACAGCCAGGAUGUUGGCUUAGAAGCAGCCAUCAUUUAAAGAAAGCGUAAUAGCUCACUGGUCGAGUCGGCCUGCGCGGAAGAUGUAACGGGGCUAAACCAUGCACCGAAGCUGCGGCAGCGACACGAUGUGUUGUUGGGUAGGGGAGCGUUCUGUAAGCCUGCGAAGGUGACCUGUGAGGGUUGCUGGAGGUAUCAGAAGUGCGAAUGCUGACAUAAGUAACGAUAAAGCGGGUGAAAAGCCCGCUCGCCGGAAGACCAAGGGUUCCUGUCCAACGUUAAUCGGGGCAGGGUGAGUCGACCCCUAAGGCGAGGCCGAAAGGCGUAGUCGAUGGGAAACAGGUUAAUAUUCCUGUACUUGGUGUUACUGCGAAGGGGGGACGGAGAAGGCUAUGUUAGCCGGGCGACGGUUGUCCCGGUUUAAGCAUGUAGGCUGGUUAUCCAGGCAAAUCCGGAUAAUCAAGGCUGAGGUGUGAUGACGAGGCACUACGGUGCUGAAGUAACAAAUGCCCUGCUUCCAGGAAAAGCCUCUAAGCAUCAGGUAACAUCAAAUCGUACCCCAAACCGACACAGGUGGUCAGGUAGAGAAUACCAAGGCGCUUGAGAGAACUCGGGUGAAGGAACUAGGCAAAAUGGUGCCGUAACUUCGGGAGAAGGCACGCUGGUGUGUAGGUGAAGUCCCUGCGGAUGGAGCUGAGACCAGUCGAAGAUACCAGCUGGCUGCAACUGUUUAUUAAAAACACAGCACUGUGCAAACACGAAAGUGGACGUAUACGGUGUGACGCCUGCCCGGUGCCGGAAGGUUAAUUGAUGGGGUUAUCCGUAAGGAGAAGCUCUUGAUCGAAGCCCCGGUAAACGGCGGCCGUAACUAUAACGGUCCUAAGGUAGCGAAAUUCCUUGUCGGGUAAGUUCCGACCUGCACGAAUGGCGUAAUGAUGGCCAGGCUGUCUCCACCCGAGACUCAGUGAAAUUGAACUCGCUGUGAAGAUGCAGUGUACCCGCGGCAAGACGGAAAGACCCCGUGAACCUUUACUAUAGCUUGACACUGAACAUUGAGCCUUGAUGUGUAGGAUAGGUGGGAGGCUUUGAAGCGUGGACGCCAGUCUGCGUGGAGCCAACCUUGAAAUACCACCCUUUAAUGUUUGAUGUUCUAACGUUGGCCCCUUACCGGGGUUGCGGACAGUGUCUGGUGGGUAGUUUGACUGGGGCGGUCUCCUCCCAAAGCGUAACGGAGGAGCACGAAGGUUAGCUAAUCCUGGUCGGACAUCAGGAGGUUAGUGCAAUGGCAUAAGCUAGCUUGACUGCGAGCGUGACGGCGCGAGCAGGUGCGAAAGCAGGUCAUAGUGAUCCGGUGGUUCUGAAUGGAAGGGCCAUCGCUCAACGGAUAAAAGGUACUCCGGGGAUAACAGGCUGAUACCGCCCAAGAGUUCAUAUCGACGGCGGUGUUUGGCACCUCGAUGUCGGCUCAUCACAUCCUGGGGCUGAAGUAGGUCCCAAGGGUAUGGCUGUUCGCCAUUUAAAGUGGUACGCGAGCUGGGUUUAGAACGUCGUGAGACAGUUCGGUCCCUAUCUGCCGUGGGCGCUGGAGAAUUGAGGGGGGCUGCUCCUAGUACGAGAGGACCGGAGUGGACGCAUCACUGGUGUUCGGGUUGUCAUGCCAAUGGCACUGCCCGGUAGCUAAAUGCGGAAGAGAUAAGUGCUGAAAGCAUCUAAGCACGAAACUUGCCCCGAGAUGAGUUCUCCCUGAGACUUUAAGUCUCCUGAAGGAACGUUGAAGACGACGACGUUGAUAGGCCGGGUGUGUAAGCGCAGCGAUGCGUUGAGCUAACCGGUACUAAUGAACCGUGAGGCUUAACCUU